rnacentral:rRNA from 1 species
UACGUAGGGUGCAAGCGUUAAUCGGAAUUACUGGGCGUAAAGCGUGCGCAGGCGGUUUUGUAAGUCAGAUGUGAAAUCCCCGGGCUUAACCUGGGAACUGCGUUUGUGACUGCAUGGCUAGAGUACGGUAGAGGGGGAUGGAAUUCCGCGUGUAGCAGUGAAAUGCGUAGAUAUGCGGAGGAACACCGAUGGCGAAGGCAAUCCCCUGGACCUGUACUGACGCUCAUGCACGAAAGCGUGGGGAGCAAACAGG